rnacentral:misc_RNA from 1 species
UUUCCGUAGGUGAACCUGCGGAAGGAUCACUACAGAGUUCAUGCCCUCACGGGUAGAUCUCCCACCCUUGAAUAUUUAUACCUUAGUUGCUUUGGCAGGCCGUGGAAACACCAUGGGCUCCGGCUUAUGCGUGCCUGCCAGAGGAAACAAACUCUGUCUUUAGUGAUGUCUGAGUACUAUAUAAUAGUUAAAACUUUCAACAACGGAUCUCUUGGUUCUG